GACGAACGCUGGCGGCGUGCUUAACACAUGCAAGUCGAGCGGUAAGGCCCUUCGGGGUACACGAGCGGCGAACGGGUGAGUAACACGUGGGUGAUCUGCCCUGCACUUCGGGAUAAGCCUGGGAAACUGGGUCUAAUACCGGAUAUGACCAUUGAUCGCAUGGUUGGUGGUGGAAAGAUUUAUCGGUGCAGGAUGGGCCCGCGGCCUAUCAGCUUGUUGGUGGGGUAAUGGCCUACCAAGGCGACGACGGGUAGCCGGCCUGAGAGGGCGGUCGGCCACACUGGGACUGAGACACGGCCCGGACUCGUACGGGAGGGAGCAGUGGGGAAUAUUGCACAAUGGGCGAAAGCCUGAUGCAGCGACGCCGCGUGAGGGAUGACGGCCUUCGGGUUGUAAACCUCUUUCAGCAGGGACGAAGCGCAAGUGACGGUACCUGCAGAAGAAGCACCGGCCAACUACGUGCCAGCAGCCGCAGUAAUAC
rnacentral:rRNA from 1 species